AAUAGAUACCCCGGUAGUCCAUGCCGUAAACGUUGGGCACUAGGUGUGGGGUCCAUUCCACGGAUUCCGUGCCGCAGCUAACGCAUUAAGUGCCCCGCCUGGGGAGUACGGCCGCAAGGCUAAAACUCAAAGAAAUUGACGGGGGCCCGCACAAGCGGCGGAGCAUGCGGAUUAAUUCGAUGCAACGCGAAGAACCUUACCAAGGCUUGACAUACACCGGAAAAGUGCAGAGAUGUGCUCCCCGCAAGGUCGGUGUACAGGUGGUGCAUGGUUGUCGUCAGCUCGUGUCGUGAGAUGUUGGGUUAAGUCCCGCAACGAGCGCAACCCUCGUCCCAUGUUGCCAGCGGGUUAUGCCGGGGACUCAUGGGAGACUGCCGGGGUCAACUCGGAGGAAGGUGGGGAUGACGUCAAAUCAUCAUGCCCCUUAUGUCUUGGGCUUCACGCAUGCUACAAUGGCCGGUACAAAGGGCUGCGAUACCGUAAGGUGGAGCGAAUCCCAAAAAGCCGGUCUCAGUUCGGAUUGGGGUCUGCAACUCGACCCC
rnacentral:rRNA from 1 species